GCGCCAGCUUCCGCUCGCGGUUCCGGUUCUUCCUAACGUGGCUGGAGACCCAAGGCAUUUCAGUUUCAGAACCUGGAUUGACGUUUAGGCAGACCAGUGGUUCAAUCUCCCGGGUUUCCCUUUCCCAAGAGAAGCGGCCUAACCGAAGAGGCAAGCACAGGAGUCAGUAGGAACAACGGCAUUGUUGGGAAGGAAACCAAAGGAAAAUGAGAACAGUUUGAGGUUUGCAAAGAAGGCCUCUAAAGAGGUGACCUUGGAACCAAGACUUGAGGACUGAAAAGAGCAGAGACUUGGAUGCAGUGACCCGCCAAGAGAGAAGGGCAUGUUAGAAGGUUAGGGCUGGAUAAGUGGAAUGGAAAGUCAUUAAUGGAGAGUUGAGUCGGUUAUGGAAAAGCACUUAGGUUAUAUUCUAACCGCAGGGAAAGACUUUAAGCUUAGCUCUGUUACCCUGACUCGGGCCAUUAGGGAAAACUCUGAAGAGAGAAGAAAAAGAGUGAAAACUGAGCCUGGAUGAACACAAACCUUUGAAAAUUGGAGUCGGCAGUGGUAGCAUUUUCAUGGAGUUUUUUAUAGUAACAGAACAAAGCUAUGAAUCAUGGCAAUUUUUUUUUCAGAUAACUUGGUAGAGAUGGUUUCUAGCAAAGCUGGUACUGUUAUUGGCCCCAGAUGCCAAAUGAUGACGAGAGGGAUGAGACAAGCUGAUCCAAAGGUAGUGAGUUAUCUCAAUGGAUGGUUCACAAUCAGUUACAGAUUAAACUUCCUUCCUCCUCACUGCUGCACUUGACUAGAGAUAGAGUAAGACAAAGCCCACCUACCUCAGAACUCCCCCAGUGUGCUUUAAAUUGGGCCUGCAAGCUCACUUCUCGGUCUUUCUUGGUAAUGGGAGACCCCAGCAUGCUGAACUUCUGCAAAAUAAAACACUCUUUGUAUUU
rnacentral:lncRNA from 1 species